UUGGAGGGCAAGUCUGGUGCCAGCAGCCGCGGUAAUUCCAGCUCCAAUAGCGUAUAUUAAAGUUGUUGCAGUUAAAAAGCUCGUAGUUGAAUUUCGGGAUCAAGGGAUCGGUCAUGCCUUGGUAUGUACUGGUCUUAUUGGUUCUCACCUUCUAAAGAACCAUGAUGUCAUUCAUUUGAUGUUAUGGGGAAUUAGGACUGUUACCUUGAAAAAAUUAGAGUGUUUAAAGCAGGCUCACGCUUGAAUACAUUAGCAUGGAAUAAUGAAAUAGGACAUCGCAUUCUAUUUUGUUGGUUUCUAGGAUCGAUGUAAUGAUUAAUAGGGAUAGUUGGGGGCAUUAGUAUUCAAUUGUCAGAGGUGAAAUUCUUGGAUUUAUUGAAGACUAACUACUGCGAAAGCAUUUGCCAAGGAUGUUUUCAUUAAUCAAGAACGAAAGUUAGGGGAUCGAAGACGAUCAGAUACCGUCGUAGUCUUAACCAUAAACUAUGCCGACUAGGGAUCGGAUGAUGUUGAUUUUUUAAUGACUCAUUCGGCGCCUUACGGGAAAC
rnacentral:rRNA from 1 species